rnacentral:lncRNA from 1 species
CACCGGCAUUUAACGAGUUUCUGCUAUGUUUAAAGCACUUAAUUUGAGAUGGGACUAGGGUUUGAGGAGGUACAUGGACACGAAGCACCCCUUCGUAAGUGGACGCCACAGCAUGUGUGCAGGGACCACGGCCCCUGAGGUUGACUAUCUGGUAUAGUCUGCAGGAUUUAGAGUGUCUUCCCCUGACCACACGGUGUUUCUCUCUGAAAGCGGCACUUGGUACCAGCACAAACUCUGUCUUCAGAAGUCCCACCAGGUGUUUUGGGGCACCAACUAUCAGGCCUCCCGGAUGGUAUCAAGGAGCUCAAACUCACCAGGUCACCACAUCUGGACAAUGAGAGGCCAAACCCCUCACCCGCCAUGACUGCCUAACCACCCACCUGCUGCCUGUUGACUGACUCCUCUUCCUUAUCCCUCCCUAGUUCCUGUUUUCCUGCAUAGACGGGCUUUCACGGUGUUAGCCAGGAUGGUCUCAAUCUCCUGACCUGGUGAUCCACCCGCCCUGGCCUCCCAAAAUGCUGGGAUUACAGGCGUGAGCCACCACGCCCGGCCUUGGCCCUGUUUCUUAAUGGGCUCUGCCCUGAGUCCAUUGGUCCAGUUGGAAAACAGACUAAACCGAAAGCUACCUAUACAAAUGACAUUGGCCUCCCUAUAAAAUCCUAUGGUAAGUUACCUUGGCACCCCUUUUUAAUUUUCC